rnacentral:rRNA from 1 species
GUUACAGCCGCCGCGGUAAUACGAGGGGUGCAAGCGUUAUUCGGAAUUAUUGGGCGUAAAGGGUGCGUAGGCGGCAUAUCAAGUCUGUUGUUAAAUCUCUCGGCUCAACCGGGAGUUCGCGAUAGAAACUGAUAAGCUCGAGGGUGGAAGAGAGGAGUAGAAUUCUCGGAGUAGCGGUAAAAUGCGUAGAUAUCGAGAGGAAUACCAAUGGCGAAGGCAGCUCCUUGGUCCAACUCUGACGCUGAUGCACGAAAGUGUGGGGAGCAAACAGGAUUAGAUACCCUAGUAGUCC